AACACGCUCCUUAGAUCCACCUCUGGAGGGCACUCCUGUGCUGAUGCUGUUGUCUGAGUGCUGCAGCUUCAGCUUGGAGGCCAGCGGCAGCUUUUUGGCUGUACAGUUGGAGGUGCUUGAGUCAUUGGCGUGUGAGAGCAGUCUACUUGCUGCACUGGCAACCCUCAGUUCCACUGACGGGACCCUACCAGUAGAGCAAUGCUG
rnacentral:snoRNA from 1 species